CCUACGGGUGACAGCAGUAGGGAAUCUUUCACAAUGGGCGAAAGCCUGAUGCAGCAACGCCGCGUGCAGGAUGAAGGCCUUCGGGUUGUAAACUGCUUUUAUAAGCGAGAAAUAUGAUGGUAACUUAUGAAUAAGGAUCGGCUAACUACGUGCCAGCAGCCGCGGUCAUACGUAGGAUCCGAGCAUUAUCCGGAGUGACUGGGUGUAAAGAGUUGCGUAGGUGGCAUAAUAAGUAGCUAGUGAAAUCUGGUGGCUCAACCAUUCAGACUAUUAGCUAAACUGUUAAGCUCGAGACCGUUAGGGGUAGCUGGAAUUUCUAGUGUAGGAGUGAAAUGCGUAGAUAUUAGAAGGAACACCGAUAGCGUAGGCAGGUUACUGGGACGGUUCUGACACUAAGGCACGAAAGCGUAGGGAGCAAACGGGAUUAGAUACCCCUGUAGUC
rnacentral:rRNA from 1 species